rnacentral:RNase_P_RNA from 1 species
ACAGAGGUCCGGCUCGUCGCGGGGAGUGCAUCGGUAACACGAUGCCGCCUGAGGAAAGUCCGGGCAACAUAGAGCACCACACUCUUUAACUGAGAGCUAUCGGCGACGGUAGAGCAGCGUGACAGAGAAUAACCGCCGCGGUCCUCACGGAUUGCGGUAAGGGUGAAAAGGUGAGGUAAGAGCUCACCGGGCGUCGCAGCGAUGCGGCGUGCCGCACGUCUUGUGGGUUGCAAGGUCAAGUAUACCGGCAUUUAAGGGUUGCUCGCCCAUUGCCGGGGGGUAGACUGCUACGGACCGCGCACCCGUGCGCGGCCAAGAUAAAUGACGAGCCGUUGACGGCUUACGGACGCGAGUCUGUUUUCGCGACAACGACAUAACCCGGCUUACAGGAUCUCUGUCUUU